GUUAAAACACCAGUUUCCGUACGAUCACCGAAGUUGAGCAACGCCGAGCUCAGUCAAUACCUAGAUGGGUGAUUGCUUGGGAAUACCAGAUGCCGUCAG